UUAGGUUUUGAAUCAAUAAUACCUUUAUUUAACUAGGUGUUUCCUGAAACUGGGUGAGUGGCAGCUGAACCUGCAAGGCAUCAAUGAGAGCACCAUCCCCAAAGUCCUGCAAUACUACAGUGCUGCAACGGAGCAUGAUCGCAACUGGUACAAGGCCUGGCAUGCCUGGGCAGUGAUGAACUUUGAAGCAGUGCUUCACUAUAAA